UACGGAGGAUCCGAGCGUUAUCCGGAUUUAUUGGGUUUAAAGGGAGCGUAGGUGGAUUGUUAAGUCAGUUGUGAAAGUUUGCGGCUCAACCGUAAAAUUGCAGUUGAAACUGGCAGUCUUGAGUACAGUAGAGGUGGGCGGAAUUCGUGGUGUAGCGGUGAAAUGCUUAGAUAUCACGAAGAACUCCGAUUGCGAAGGCAGCUCACCAGACUGCAACUGACACUGAUGCUCGAAAGUGUGGGUAUCAAACAGG
rnacentral:rRNA from 1 species